AUGGAUUACCCGAUGCAGGAGGUGCACCAGCACCCAGGAUUCCGGGCGGUUCAUCCAUGGCAGUGGUGGCAGUGGCAGCUCUCCGUCCUGGCUUCGUCCUCUUCGCCUCCGGCUCCGUCGUCGCGGCCGCCCAACCACGUCAGCUGGGAUGAGACCGGCGCCGCGCAUAUCUACUCCGCUGACCUCCCCGGCGUGAAGAAGGAGGAGAUCAGGGUGGAGAUUGAGGACGGGAGGUACCUCGUCAUACGCACCGAACUGGACGCUGGUGACGCGGAAGUCCACGGCCGCCGAGGCAGCUUCGCGAGGAAGUUCCGGCUGCCGGGGAUGGUGGACGCCGACGGCAUCACGGCCGAGUACGCCCACGGCGUACUGACCGUGACGGUGCCCAGGAUGCACACCCGGGCCCGGCCCGUGGUCAAUCUCAUCGGGCUUGGUCCUGCCUGCGACCCCGUGGCCAGAGCAGCUUAA
rnacentral:rRNA from 1 species